GAAACAUCUUGUAGUGUACUGUUUAGCUGUAAAAUGAGAAAUUUGCGAGUGAUUGACAGCUGUCUACAUUGAAUGAAAAGCCAAUAGGAACGCUCUCUCUCUGAGAUGACCUGCGAUUGGCCAAAGCCUUCUGUCACGGACUAGAUUUUUUAAAGCCU